rnacentral:rRNA from 1 species
AGGAGAGUUUGAUCCUGGCUCAGGACGAACGCUGGCGGCGUGCUUCAAACAUGCAAGUCGAACGGAGUUUGAGGGAGCUUGCUCCCGAGAACUUAGUGGCGGACGGGUGAGUAACGCGUGAGCAAUCUGGCUAUUACAGGGGGAUAACACUUGGAAACGAGUGCUAAUACCGCGUAUGACCACAACCUGGCAUCGGGAAGGGGUGAAAGGAGAAAUCCGGUAAUAGAUGAGCUUGCGUUUCAUUAGCUAGUUGGUGAAGGUAACGGCCCACCAAGGCGACGAUGAAUAGCCGAUCUGAGAGGAUGACCGGCCACACUGGAAUUGAGAACGGUCCAGACUCCUACGGGAGGCAGCAGUUAGGAAUAUUGGGCAAUGGAGGAAACUCUGACCCAGCAACGCCGCGUGAAGGAAGAAGGUUUUCGGAUUGUAAACUUCUGAUCUGUGGGAAGAAGAAAGUGACGGUACCACAGGAGAAAGCCACGGCUAACUACGUGCCAGCAGCCGCGGUAAUACGUAGGUGGCGAGCGUUGUCCGGAAUAACUGGGCGUAAAGGGAGCGUAGGUGGCUAUUUAAGUUAAAUGUGAAAGCCCAGGGCCCAACUCUGGAAUUGCAUUUAAUACUGGGUAGCUAGAGUACUGGAGGGGUAAACGGAAUUUCUAGUGUAGCGGUGGAAUGCGUAGAUAUUAGGAAGAACACCGGAGGCGAAGGCGGUUUACUGGACAGCAACUGACACUGAGGCUCGAAAGCGUGGGGAGCAAACAGGAUUAGAUACCCUGGUAGUCCCCU